CUGUGAUUCCCCUAGUAAUGGCGAAUGAAACGGGAAGAGCCCAUCGUCGAAUCGCAAGUCAUCUCGGCUUUGUGAAAUGUGACGUUUGGGAGGGUCGCCCACGGUUCAGACGAUCAGUCCAAGUCCAACUUGACAGUGGCCACAGCCCAUAGAGGGUGAUAGGCCCGUAAGGCGGUUGUCUGGCUGUGCUGACCUCUCUCUAGAGUCGGAUUGCUUGGGAGUGCAGUCCAAAGUGCGAGGUAAACUCCUCGUAAGGCUAAAUAUAACCCCGAGACCGAUAGCAAACAAGUACAGUGAUGGAAAAUUGAAAAGAACUUUGAAGAGAGAGUUAAGAGUACGUGAAACUGUGUGGUGGUAAACGGAGGCGUUCUCGAAGUGUCCGUGGGGGACUCAAGCUUGGUGGCGGGCAGCCGGCGCUCCUUGAUCAGCAAUGACUGGGUGYGUCGUGCAGGCUUGCCUCCCGGCCGCACUUUCCCCGCGGUUGACGGCAGGAACUGUUGGGACCGGACCAAAGGCCUGGGAUGAAGUUGCUUGCCCUCACGGGCUUGUAGCUCCCGGUGUCCUGGCUUCGGGCCCGACGGGGUAUGAGUGGACUUGUAUAGCAAGCGACAGCCUGUUGCGGUUCACAUCUCUCUGCCGAGUAGGUC
rnacentral:rRNA from 1 species